AAUAGUCAAACAUAAAUAUAUUUGAGUGAGGCUACUAUGCUUCUGAAAGUACGGAGCCUUCCGUGCUUCCAGGCCGUUUUCGAUGUUGCGACUUUCGAAUCACCGAUCGGCUCCGUUAAACUUGACCUAGAGUAUUUGAAGUACUUAGAAAAUAAAUUUUAUGAUUUUUCGAUAUCAUUUGCCUAGUGAGCGAAGGGACUCAAAAUCAAUAAUUUUAAAGACCGUGGUGAGCCGUUUGCAAGUUUAACGGUGUAGAAAUAUUCAAAUCACGUGAAAUUUUGAUAGAAAAUUAUUUAUACUAUAUAAAACAAGAUCAAUAUCUUUGAUCUAAAAUUUUAAUGUCAUAUUAUCACGUUUUGUAAGAUUUUUAUUUUCAGCCGUUGAUUUUGAGCCCCUUCGUUCACUAGGCAAAUGAUAUCGAAAAAUUGCAAAAUUUAUUUUCUUGGCACUUCGAAUACUCUAGAUCAAGUUUAACGCAGCCGAUCGGCGAUUCGAAAGUCGCAACAUCGAAAACGAUCUGAAAUUUUUUUUACGAAAAGUUUCGUACUUUCAGAAGCAUAGUAGCCUCACUAUACUCAAUAUAUUUAAGCAUUUAUUAUAAA
rnacentral:lncRNA from 1 species